rnacentral:rRNA from 1 species
GUAUGGAAUAUUGGGCAAUGGGCGGUAGCCUGACCCAGCCAUGCCGCGUGCAGGAAGACGGCGUUCUGCGUUGUAAACUGCUUUUAUACGGGAAGAAAAGGCCCAUGCGUGGGACAUUGCCGGUACCGUAUGAAUAAGCACCGGCUAACUCCGUGCCAGCAGCCGCGGUAAUACGGAGGGUGCAAGCGUUGUCCGGAUUUAUUGGGUUUAAAGGGUGCGUAGGCGGCUUGUUAAGUCAGCGGUGAAAGUCUGUGGCUCAACCAUGGAAUUGCCGUUGAUACUGGCGGGCUUGAGUGUCGAUGGGGUACAUGGAAUUUAUGGUGUAGCGGUGAAAUGCAUAGAUACCAUAAGGAACACCGAUAGCGAAGGCAUUGUACUUAUCGACAACUGACGCUGAGGCACGAAAGCGCGGGUAGCGAACAGGAUUAGAAACCCUAGUAGUCC